rnacentral:rRNA from 1 species
AUUGAACGCUGGCGGCGUGCCUAACACAUGCAAGUCGAGCGGCAGCGCGGGAGCAAUCCUGGCGGCGAGCGGCGGACGGGUGAGUAACGCUUGGGAAUCUGCCUGUUAGUGGGGGACAACCCGGGGAAACUCGGGCUAAUACCGCAUACGCACUACGGUGGAAAGCCGGGGACCGCAAGGCCUGGCGCUAACAGAUGAGCCCAAGUCGGAUUAGCUAGUUGGUAGGGUAACGGCCUACCAAGGCGACGAUCCGUAACUGGUCUGAGAGGACGACCAGUCACACCGGAACUGAGACACGGUCCGGACUCCUACGGGAGGCAGCAGUGGGGAAUAUUGGACAAUGGGGGAAACCCUGAUCCAGCGACGCCGCGUGGGUGAAGAAGGCCUGCGGGUUGUAAAGCCCUUUCAGUGGGGAAGAAAAGCCUCGACCUAACACGUCGGGGUCUUGACGUAACCCCAUAGAAGAGGCACCGGCUAACUCUGUGCCAGCAGCCGCCGU